CCUGAAACACUCCUGAUACUUUCACUCUGAGCGUCAUGUGAUCACACAAACAUCUGAAUGUUUCUCUCUUCACUCAGAGUUUCUCCUCCAGCCUCCUCGUGUUUAUUCUGCAGAAAGUCAGAGUGAUCUGAUGUGAGAACACAGCAGGAUAUAAUCAGGAGAAUUCACCUGGAGCCAGUGGGAGGGGCCAGUGGGAGGGGCCAGUGGGAGGGGCCAGUGGGAGGGGGUGGUGACCUUUAUUCCCUGUGAUCGCUGCACGACCAUAGACUGUCUGCACGCCACCUCUACCAUCUCCGUGCUCUAAUCAACCUGCUGCUGCAUGUUUCCUGUUCUCCAGUUUGUUCUUCUCCUCUCUUUAGUUCACUUUGAGAUUCUCUUCAACUACAUGCAGCAUUGAUACAAACACACAUAUUCUCAUCAUAGAGUCCUAUGGAGGACUCUGCUGGUUCCACAUCGUUCUUUUUA